GAGUUUGAUCAGGCUCAGAGCGAACGCUGGCGGCAUGCUUAACACAUGCAAGUCGCACGGUCAGCAAUGGCAGUGGCGGACGGGUGAGUAACACGUAGGAAUCUAUCUCUGGGUGGGGGACAACAGUGGGAAACUACUGCUAAUACCGCAUGAUACCUGAGGGUCAAAGGCGUAAGUCGCCUGGAGAGGAGCCUGCGUCUGAUUAGCUUGUUGGUGGGGUAAAGGCCUACCAAGGCUACGAUCAGUAGCUGGUCUGAGAGGAUGAUCAGCCACAUUGGGACUGAGACACGGCCCAAACUCCUACGGGAGGCAGCAGUGGGGAAUAUUGGACAAUGGGCGAAAGCCUGAUCCAGCAAUGCCGCGUGUGUGAAGAAGGUCUUCGGAUUGUAAAGCACUUUUGGCUAGGGACGAUGAUGACGGUACCUGCAGAAUAAGCCCGGCUAACUUCGUGCCAGCCGCCGCGGUAAG
rnacentral:rRNA from 1 species